GGGCAUCUGCUGACAUGGGGGCCGAAGUCAGGCGCCAGGCAGUAGGCACUCUGCAUCUUAUCUCCGGAGCAUAGAUCCUCCUUGACAGCCUUGGGUGUCAG
rnacentral:pre_miRNA from 1 species